rnacentral:rRNA from 1 species
AAUAUUGGACAAUGGGCGGAAGCCUGAUCCAGCCAUGCCGCGUGUGUGAAGAAGGUCUUCGGAUUGCAAAGCACUUUAAUUUGGGAGGAAGGGCAGUUAACGAAUACUUAACUGUUUUGACGUGACCAAAAGAAUAAGCACCGGCUCACUUCGUGCCAGCAGCCGCGGUAAUACGAAGGGUGCAAGCGUUUAUCGGAAUUACUGGGCGUAAAGCGCGCGUAGGUGGUUCGUUAAGUUGGAAGUGAAAGCCCCGGGCUCAACCUGGGAAUUGCUUUCAAGACUGGCGAGCUAGAGUACGGUAGAGGGUGGUGGAAUUUCCUGUGUAGCGGUGAAAUGCGUAGAUAUAGGAAGGAACAUCAGUGGCGAAGGCAGCCCCCUGGGCCGAUACUGACGCUCAUGCACGAAAGCGUGGGUAGCAAACAGG